rnacentral:rRNA from 1 species
UAAACAUUGACCGUUAAUUACACCCACUGUCCGCCUGGGAACUACGAGCGCCAGCUUAAAACCCAAAGGACUUGGCGGUGCUUUAGACCCACCUAGAGGAGCCUGUUCUACGAGCGAUAAUCCCCGUUAAACCUCACCCUUCCUUGUCAUUUCCGCCUAUAUACCACCGUCGUCAGCUUACCCUGUGAAGGCCCAAUAGUAAGCGCAAUCGGCAAUGCCCAAAACGUCAGGUCGAGGUGUAGCGAAUGGAAGGGGAAGAAAUGGGCUACAUUUACUAACACAGUAAAUACGGAUGAUUACCCUGCAACGAGUAUCUGAAGGAGGAUUUAGCAGUAAGCAAAAAGCAGAGUGUUUUGCUGAAAUUGGC